GCCGCGAAAACUUUACAAUGCGGGAAACCGUGAUAAGGGAAUCUCGAGUGCCAGCAUAUAAUGUUGGCUGUCCAGAUGCCUAAAAAGCAUCUGUUAGCAAGGGCCGGGCAAGACCGGUGCCAGCCGCCGCGGUAACACCGGCGGCCCGAGUGGUAACCGCUUUUAUUGGGUCUAAAGGGUCUGUAGCCGGCCAAGUAAGUCCCUUGGGAAAUCUGGCAGCUUAACUGUCAGGCUGCUAGGGGAUACUGCUAGGCUUGGGACCGGGAGAGGUGAGAGGUACCUUGGGGGUAGGGGUGAAAUCUUGUGAUCCUCGGGGGACCACCAGUGGCGAAGGCGUCUCACCAGAACGGGUCCGACGGUAAGGGACGAAAGCUAGGGGCACGAACCG
rnacentral:rRNA from 1 species